rnacentral:rRNA from 1 species
GUAGGGGGGCGAGCGUUGUCCGGAUUUAUUGGGCGUAAAGAGCUCGUAGGCGGCUCAGCAAGUCGGCCGUGAAAGCCUGAGGCUCAACCUCAGGACGCCGGUCGAAACUGCUGUGGCUAGGGUUCGGUAGAGGAGAGUGGAAUUCCCGGUGUAGCGGUGAAAUGCGCAGAUAUCGGGAGGAACACCAGUAGCGAAGGCGGCUCUCUGGGCCGAUACCGACGCUGAGGAGCGAAAGCUAGGGGAGCGAACAGGAUUAGAUACCCUGGUAGUCCUAGCUGUAAACGUUGGGCACUAGGUGUGGCGGACUCAUUGACGUCUGCCGUUGCCGAAGCUAACGCAUUAAGUGCCCCCCGCCUGGGGUAGUACGGUCGCAAGGCUA